rnacentral:rRNA from 1 species
AGAGGUAACCNNNAUUCCUAGUGUAGCGGUGAAAUGCGUAGAUAUUAGGAAGAACACCAGUGGCGAAGGCGGGUUACUGGACGACAACUGACGGUGAGGCGCGAAAGCGUGGGGAGCAAACAGGAUUAGAUACCCUGGUAGUCCACGCUGUAAACGAUCAAUACUAGGUGUGCGGGGACUGACCCCCUGCGUGCCGCAGUUAACACAAUAAGUAUUGCACCUGGGGAGUACGAUCGCAAGGUUGAAACUCAAAGGAAUUGACGGGGGCCCGCACAAGCGGUGGAUUAUGUGGUUUAAUUCGAAGCAACGCGAAGAACCUUACCUAAGCUUGACAUCCCACUGACCUCUCCUUAAUCGGAGAUUUCCCUUCGGGGACAGUGGUGACAGGUGGUGCAUGGUUGUCGUCAGCUCGUGUCGUGAGAUGUUGGGUUAAGUCCCGCAACGAGCGCAACCCUUGUCUUUAGUUGCCAUCAUUUAGUUGGGCACUCUAGAGAGACUGCCAGGGAUAACCUGGAGGAAGGUGGGGAUGACGUCAAAUCAUCAUGCCCCUUAUGCUUAGGGCUACACACGUGCUACAAUGGGUGGUACAGAGGGUUGCCAAGCCGUGAGGUGGAGCUAAUCCCUUAAAGCCAUUCUCAGUUCGGAUUGUAGGCUGAAACUCGCCUACAUGAAGCUGGAGUUACUAGUAAUCGCAGAUCAGAAUGCUGCGGUGAAUGCGUUCCCGGGUCUUGUACACACCGCCCGUCACACCAUGGGAGUCGGAAACACCCGAAGCCGAUUAUCUAACCGCAAGGAGGAAGUCGUCGAAGGUGGAGUCGAUAACUGGGGUGAAGUCGUAACAAGGUAACC